rnacentral:lncRNA from 1 species
CACUUCUCUCUUCAUCCAAUCUCAGAGAGAUAGGACAGCACACAGAAACGCCCAGAAUCCACCAAGCUAUGCAUGCCAGUCCUUACCAGCUCUCUGCCUGUUCUCCAGGAAAGGGGAGAAUUGCAGGGAAAUCAGUCACAUUUUGAAUAGUUGGACUCCUAUGGUGAAGCCCUUUGGGCAUUAGCCAAACUCCUCCACAGUAUUCUGUUAUUCUAUUAUGGUGUUCUGGCGUCCUCUUCUCUCUUACCCACUUCAGUGUUCAGCACAGAGCUUGUUGGGGCUGCUUCCUGAAGAAUAUUUUUGGGAUCCCGGCCUUUCUCCUCUGUUACCUCCCAGUAGUCCCAGCAGAAGUCCCCAGAGACAUGAUUCUUCAGAAGAAACAGGAAGGCUUUGGCUGCAGCAGUUUCCAUCCGGGUAAGGGUGAAAAUGGAUGAACACAGA